UGGGGAAUCUUGGUCAAUGGGCGCAAGCCUGAACCAGCGAUGCCGCGUGAGUGAUGAAGGCCUUCGGGUUGUAAAGCUCUGUGGGGAGGGACGAAAGAAUCGGUUCUAACAGGACCGAAGUUGACGGUACCUCCUUAGCAAGCACCGGCUAACUCUGUGCCAGCAGCCGCGGUAAGACAGAGGGUGCAAACGUUGCUCGGAAUCACUGGGCGUAAAGGGCGUGUAGGCGGGUAGGCAAGUCGGGCGUGAAAUCCCUGAGCUCAACUCAGGAACUGCACUCGAAACUGCUUAUCUUGAGUGACGGAGAGGAAAGCGGAAUACCUGGUGUAGAGGUGAAAUUCGUAGAUAUCAGGUGGAACAACAGUGGCGAAGGCGGCUUUCUGGACGGUAACUGACGCUGAGACGCGAAAGCGUGGGGAGCAAACAGG
rnacentral:rRNA from 1 species